GAGUUUGAUCAUGGCUCAGGAUGAACGCUAGCGGGAGGCUUAAUACAUGCAAGUCGAACGGUAACAGCGGAGCUUGCUCCGGCUGACGAGUGGCGCACGGGUGAGUAACGCGUACGAAAUCUACCUUUCAGAGAGGGAUAGCCCCGGGAAACUGGGAUUAAUACCUCAUAGUAUCGAAUUACUGCAUGGUAAUUUGAUUAAAGCUCCGGUGCUGAAAGAUGAUCGUGCGUACUAUUAGGUAGUUGGUGAGGUAACGGCUCACCAAGCCGACGAUAGUUAGGGGGCGUGAGAGCGUGACCCCCCACACGGGUACUGAGACACGGACCCGACUCCUACGGGAGGCAGCAGUAAGGAAUAUUGGACAAUGGGCGCAAGCCUGAUCCAGCCAUCCCGCGUGCAGGAUGACGGCGCUAUGCGUUGUAAACUGCUUUUAUAAGAGAAGAAACCCCUGGAUUUAUCUGGGGCUGACGGUAUCUUAAGAAUAAGCACCGGCUAACUCCGUGCCAGCAGCCGCGGUAACACGGAGGGUGCAAGCGUUAUCCGGA
rnacentral:rRNA from 1 species